UAGUGUUAACAGCUCUUUUAGAAUUUGUCUAGCAGGCUUUCCAGUUUUGGCCGGAAAGCCAUC
ensembl:snRNA U7 U7 small nuclear RNA